AGUGAACGCUGGCGGUAGGCCUAACACAUGCAAGUCGAACGGAAGGCGGAAGGGUGAGGAAUACAUCGGAACCUACUUUGUCUAGGGGGAUAACGUAGGUAAACUUACGCUAAUACCGCAUACGAUUGUUUGAGCCGUUGUUGGAUUAGCUAGUUGGCGGGGUAAAGGACCACCAAGGCGUCGAUGCGUAGCUGGGCUGAGAGGCUGAUCGGCCACACUGGAACUGAGACACGGUCCAGACUCCUACGGGAGGCAGCAGUGGGGAAUAUUGGGCAAUGGGCGCAAGCCUGAGCCAGCCAUACCGCGUGGGUGAAGAAGGCCUUCGGGUUGUAAAACCCUGUUGUUGGGAAAGCGGUACCCAAAGAAAAAGCACCGGCUAACUUCGUGCCAGCAGCCGCGGUAAUUC
rnacentral:rRNA from 1 species